ACCUCGUCUGCUAAUCGCCGCUGGACAACAUAUUUUCAACGCUGUGCAUUCUCUUCAUGGUGAAAAGAGAUCGCGUCGAUAGGCACUAAAGAAACAUUAAGAAGUAUCGUUAUGCGACCUGUCUUGGUGGUAACAACUCGUGGACCCUUGAAAGUCUUGGAUUUUAGCUGAGAUGUUUUGGCACACUUUUUAGGUGCAGAUGGGAAUACAUUUUCAUGAUGAACUGGAGAAACAGAAGAUAGGCAUAGGGGAGAAGUACGAUCAAGAGAUGUAUUAGACUUAGGGGCGGUCUCAAAUUCAAGAUUUAAAGAAGCAGAUGUAGGAAUUCCUGGACUGUGAUGAGAACAAUUCUUAGUAGAACUGCUGUCUGAGCUAGAUGAUUGAGUCUCUAGAGUGACAAUACAUACUAGAGCUUCUGAGACAUUGUAUGAAUUAUGGAAAGGUAAGAAACCUAGUGUUAAAUACUUUCACAUUUUCGAAAUUGUUUGUUAUAUCCUUGCAGAUUAAGAGUAUCACAAAAAAUUGGAUGUUAAGUCCGAUAGAGAAAUUUUCUUAGGCUAUUCUUCAAAUAAUCAUGUUUACAGAGUAUGCAAUACUAGAACUCAGUCAGUAAUGAAAACUGUUAAUAUAGUUGUCAAUGGUGAUGAAAGACUGUUUCACAGAGAACAUGAUGAUGACAAAGCUAUGAUAAGCAAAAUCCUGAUAAGGCCGUUGAAAGAUUACCAAAGGAUGAUGUUGUUUCUCCACCUAAUCCUGAAGCUAAGGAUGAUGGUAAUAGCUUUGAGUCUACUCAGAGAACUAUUGAUGCAGAUACUGAAACCAGAACCCCUGUUCUACAAGUUGCUCCAUCGUCACAUGUGACGAAGAAUCAUCCAACAAAUUGCAUUUUUUUAUUCUUUUAUUCCAUUCAAACUCGUAAGUCACAACAAAAAAACUAAGAUGUAAAGAAGAAAUCAAAUGAUCAUUCUUAUGUUCUCUUUUAUUUUUUCAUUUUUGUUGUAUUUAUUUACUUCUAUUUAUAUAAAUACGUUUGCUUGUAUUCUUUCAUAGAUGUUUAAAUAAUGUAAUCUUAGAUUUUGUUUUUG
rnacentral:lncRNA from 1 species